GAAGUCAGCCAGACCGCCGCUGGUGCUAGCCGAAAGGGCGGCGACGCAAGUCGCCGUGUGGAAACACCGCACUGGAGGAACGUCCGGACUGCACAGGACAGCGUAGGAGCUAACGGCUCUCCACCGCGAGGUGAGGAUCAGAGCAACAGAGACGAGUUUGGUCGAUCCGGCCCAAUCAGGGUGUUCUGUGGGGUAGCGGCGCAAGCCGCGCAGGGGCGGGCGAAAGCCCGCUCCAUCACGCGCAAGCGUGAUCCCCACAGCCACCUUGGUCGGUGCCCGACCAAGGUGAAACGGGCAAUCUCUACGCGCAGCAAUACCAAGUAGGCCAACGUUGAUGUGGUUCCGCAGAGUUGGCGGGUAGGUAGCAUCGAGCCGGGUGGGUGACCCCCGGCCCAGAGUAAUGGCGGUCACGCCGUGCGCAAGCGCGGUGCACAGAAUCCGGCUUAUCGGCUGACUUCACAC
rnacentral:RNase_P_RNA from 1 species